rnacentral:tRNA from 1 species
CCUCUCGUGGCGUAGGGGUAACGCGCCCUAUCUAGAGAAAAGGGAGUCGUGAGUUCGAUUCUCACCGAGAAGA